UACGUAGGGUGCAAGCGUUGUCCGGAAUCAUUGGGCGUAAAGCGCGCGUAGGUGGCCAUUUAAGUCCGCUGUGAAAGUCAAAGGCUCAACCUUUGAAAGCCGGGUGGAUACUGGAUGGCUAGAGUACGGAAGAGGCGAGUGGAAUUCCUGGUGUAGCGGUGGAAUGCGCAGAUAUCAGGAGGAACACCAAUGGCGAAGGCAGCUCGCUGGGACGGUACUGACGCUGAGACGCGAAAGCGUGGGGAGCAAACAGG
rnacentral:rRNA from 1 species